rfam:Geomyces destructans 20631-21 unplaced genomic scaffold supercont1.34, whole genome shotgun sequence.
GUCUUCAUGGCUCAGUUGGUUAGAGCGUUGGUCUCAUACUUCUUGUAUGACGUAACUGUCAAACAGUCAUGUGAUUGCCAUCCAAAGGUCGUGAGUUCGAACCUCACUGAGGACA